rnacentral:lncRNA from 10 species
UGAACCCGGGAUGUGGAGGUUGCAGUGAGCGGAGAGUGCGCCACUGCACUCCAGCCUGGGCGACAGAGAGAGACUCCAUCUCAAACAAACAAACAAAAAACAAGUGGAAUUUUAAAACAACUACAUGGGAGAAAAAAGUAGGAUUUUCAUGAAAUCCUCCCAUUUUUGCACAGCACCGAGCUGUCUGGUUUUCUGUGUCUAGAGCUUCCUAAUGAAAGAGAGAUAAACACAUAUUGAAAUCAAGGGGGAGAUCAAGGAUGAUUAAAGAGGAAGAAAUGAAGAUAUAUCACGAGGAUACCACAGUAAUUCCAGGGAUUGAGGAAGCCAGAGUACAUAACGAAGAGACGUUAUGCACCCUUAGUGACGUGGGAAUGAAGGUAUCACUAAACAGCUGCUCAAGAAAGACCAGAAGUUCUCAAAGUGUGGUCCUGGACCAGAGGCAUCACCAUCACCAGAAAACUUUCUAAAAAUGCAAGUUCGCAGACCCCGACCCACACCUGCUGAAUCAGAAACGUGGGGGUGGGGCCCAGCAAGGCUUUAGCAAACCUUCCGGGGGAUUCGGAUGUGCAUUCAAGCUUGAGAAACAUGACUGUAGACCAGCGCUUCCCAGCACUGACUACGUACGAGUCACCCGGGAGCGUGUUAAGCAGCGCGCUCUGAUUCAGCAGGAGAGGCCAAGAUGCUGCCGUUCUCACCAACGCCCAGGUGAGGCUGAUGCUGCCGCUUCUCAGGCCACACGUUGAAUCACUUUUGAAGGAAGGUUGAGUGAGCAUUCGGUGACUGCAGGGCUUCGUAAGGAAAUAGUCAAGGAAAACACAAAUAGCAGCAUCAGUUUAUCUCCAUCGAUAUUUUAAAGGAUCGGAGCAAGAAAAAUGCUGCUUUUAGUGGUUUGUUGCCUGGUGUUCCACGGAUGUUUCACCAACAGCAAUGCCUUUGCAUAUCUAUUACAUGCUUCCUGAAAGCCCCAAGCAUGACCUGUGAAGCACUCCUCUCUGCAGACGCAGAGGCUGACGCUGGCCCAUAGAGCUAUUUGCCUUCCAAGGUCACAGAAACCUUGGACGGAUCGGGCUGGCAAAGGUCUCCUGACUACCCGGCUGGAGCUCUUUCUGCAGGCCGCUUAAGGCUGUCCUAGUCAAGCCACAGUGGGAAGUAGUGACAGAGAGCAUGAGAUUGACAUUGCUGUGCCUCAGUCGUAAAAACCGGACCAGCUCAGUCUCCAGGCUCACUGGUGAAUAAUAGGAACCUUUAUCAUCCUUUCCGUCAGAAAGCAUUUAUUUAAAACCCCUUGGCUAACUCACAGGGUGAGCUGGCCUGUCACACACCAUCACAUGGUGUGGAAACUGGCAAUUAAAUUUAGCAACCCACCUCGGCAAACUCAGACUGAGAUGUUUACUGGCCAGCCCAGCCCAGGGGGAGCCAGGGGCUUUCAUUCCUAAAUCAAGAGGUUUCCAGAAAAAGUGAAACACGGCUUGGGUGGGUUAUGCUGAAUUAUGAGCACCUGUCCCCAUCAAUAACUUGGCGUCCUCAAAAUGCUACUGCAGGACUCUGAGGUCCAAGAAUGCCUGUCCUGUACACAGCUGAGGGACGGCUAUUGGCCUCACUUGCAGGGCUGCCGCUCAGAGAGGGGGAGAUGCCGAAAGGGAAGCGCUUGCUUGCUCCAAGGACAGCUUGUUUGUUUACUGACUCUGGGGACAGAGAGAGACAACAUUAAUCAAAGAAUAGAUGUCAUUUCCCCUCCACACCCUGAGAAGAGUGCUGCAACUGUGGCCCGUGGUUUAUCUGUAACAAUGUAGGUGAGCCACUUCAGUGCAUUUCCAUGAUGGCAAACAGCAAGGUGGGCAUCCUGAGGAGUGAGUUUCCCGGUUUACAGGGGGCAAUCAGAAUUAUGGCCUGGAUGCAGUGAUACAGCAAUGCCUGUAGUCCAGGAAGCUGUUCUGUUAUAAAGGUCUACUUUCUGGAACACCCUUGGGGCUGCAAGCUAGCAAAAGUGGAGUUUGUGUGCAUCUUCCGGAUCCAGCGGUGUGAGUUAGGAUGUCUCAACAAGAGGGGCUGCCAUUUGUCAUCUUAGCCAAAGACUCAGCCAGAAUCCUACUCUUUAGUGGGGCUGGGGAUGUGAUGGUGAGAGAGAGCAGGUUACAUCCUAAGAGUUGUGUUUGGCUCAAGGUCACGCAAGGUUGGGUGUCUCAGCUGGAUUUAAACAAAGAACAAUUGAGUUCCUAAUCUACGGCUCAGCCCAUUGGACCACAGUGACCUCUGGUCUCUUGUACCUGGAAGCCCAGCCCUGCUGGAGGAAGUAAUGCGCCUGCUCUCCAGGUGAUGUGGGAACCUGUUGUGCCGCUGCCUCCUCCCCCAGCAGCCAGGUGGAAUCCAGCUCUCUCUGUGUCCCC